CCUGGCAAAACCCAUUGCAUCAGCAGCUUCUACAGCUUCCGCCUGCGCCCUACCUGCCAAGCUUGGACAGGAAGAGGAAAGGAAAGAGAAAACUUUACUCCAAUCCCCCCUCCUCUGUUAACUUCCCCUCCCACCCUCGGGCCCUAACUAGCCCCUGGGACGCCUCCUCCCCACCAACGCAUCCAUCCCCAGAGGAAAAAGCGAGGAUUUCAGAGCGCGACCUGGGCAGGCUCUCAUGAAAGUCACCACGUUUAUGUAGGUAACUAAGGCCUACCGAAACCACUCAGCCCUAAGUGCACGCAGGAGAAGCAUGGAGUUGGAGGAAAAGGGUGGGGUUGGGAGCUUCUGAUUCAGCCACAUGUGUGCUGUUUCCAUAGUUAUAUGAUCAGAGUGACUAAUUCAUCAAAG